ensembl:lncRNA
UUUCCAUAUUUAUAGCCAAAAUCACAGUUUAAAGUUUACAAUUCAAGAUUAAACUUUUACUUUAAGUCUAUCAAAGCGCAUAUCAAAACAACAUUCGUUGUUUAAUGUGAAACAAGCUCUGAAUAUGUGCAUUUAUAACACUUUAUUUUCACAAAUGUUUAAACUGUGCCAUUUUUAAUGAAAAAUAUAAAGUCAAUGAAGUGAAAGUAAUAUUAGCCCUACAUGUAACUAGUUCAACAGACACAUACUGUAGUCAUGUUUUGUGACUGCAUCUCAAAGAUCAUUCAAUUGUGCAUUAAAAAGGUCAUAUUUGUUGUGUUAUACCCUAUGUAGCAUGCACAUAUUUUUAAAAAAAAAUGCCUUUGUGAAGAUGAGAUGAGAAAACCAGUAAUGUUUCAGAUUUAUUGUUGACCUUAAUUAAAGUUUCUAUAAAAUUUUGAUAUUGCCUCCUUGUUAUUUUUGUACUUAAGGAAGCAACCAUUUUUCACUUUCUUAUGUUAUAUGAACAUAGUGUAGUGCUACUACUCAGCAAUAUAAAAAAAAAAAAGAUUAUUAAUAUUCAGAUGCAUGUAAACAAUACGUUUAAUUUCGUAAUUAGUUUGAAUGUAUCCUUAAAAAGCCUGGUAUCAAUAAAAAAAAAAGGUAAAUGACAUCGGCAGCAGUCCUGAAUGAGCCUCAAAGAUGAAGGAGAGCACAAACACAAAAAGCGUGGUCUUCACUUUUCAGGCCAUGGGCAUCUGGUUCUGCUGAGUGGCGAGAACAUUUUCUACUACGCUUUUCAUCCGGCUGGGAGGCUUAAGACACAUUCUCAUAUCCUGUUUUCGGCACUGCUGUUGCCCUUGAAGUGAGGUUUAUUGCUUGCUGAGGGUCAGGCACUGUGAGUGUGUAUGUGUGUGUAUGUGUGUGUGUGUGUGAGUGCGUGUGUGCGUGUGUGCAUGUGCGUGCAUGCGUGUGUAAACGCGCACGUGCAUAUGCAUGUGUGUAUCCCAGAGUGUCGGCGGUUGUACUCAUGCACAGUAUGCAUAAGCCGAACAAAUAAACCCAAAAUCACAUACCACAGCAGGGCCCGGGGGAAAAUGAGGGGAAGUUACAGAUGCAAGUCCAGUGAGUGUGUUCUUCGUUCAUACUCUGGAAGAACCCGGUGACUUAUUCAUAAACAGAAACACAUGUGAAGGCCUGGGCUUUGAUCCAGAGAACACAGUGACAUCCAUAAGAGCAUUGCCGUUCUUCUUUCAACCCCGCAAAACAUUUUGAUCAGUAGCAGAGAGGUUGAAAGGGUGUUUCCCCGCCUGUUCCACGCCCAAAUAAGGGCAGGAGCAUCUCAUCCGUUCAGGAAUGUUGCUGACUCAGCAUGGGCCUUGCCAGUAGGUUUAGUUUAUGCUUGCAGAGAAUGCAGAGCCAGGCCCAGACAGCUCACGUGACACCUUCCAAAUGGGGUAUGGGGGGGGUUUGGGAUGCAGUGGAUAAACGAAUUAAGAUAAAAAUCAGGACCUGUCUGACCUGAGAUUGAUUUUGACUUCGCUACCAUCUGGCUCCUGUCAUAUUCCUCCAACUCUUGACCUGUGAUAGUCUUGUUCUAAGCUGGGGUGCCAGGAAAGAGCCAACCACAACAGUUCUUCAGCUGGCAGCUUUAGCUGAUACACAAGGACAUAAAGCUUGCCAGUGAAGAACUGCUGCGGGUCAGCCAGUGGCAUCCGGAUAUGCGCUGGACAUUCCAAGAGAUGGAGAGGAUCAACCUGUAGAAAGAAACACAGAAAGAAACAGAGGUGUCAUAAGACUUAGAAAUCAUGCAAGAGAUUGCAAAGGAAGAUUUCUAAUUUCUAACACAAAUACAGUUUUUGAUCUCCUCAAACCAGCCAAUGCCAGAGGAAGCAUGGUAAAAGGAGACGUAUACAGGCUGAUAAUGAAGCUAUGUGGAUGGGGUUUCAGCUGCGCCUCCCCUCGCUGCCACAGCUAUGCAGGCUAGAACAAGCAGUGGAGUCAUGUGCUCUCUGCCCCAGGGUUUUUUUCAUCUGAGCCAGCCCGCUACUGCUUCCCCAUUUACUGUGCUUAGCUCAGCUCCACUCAAUCCUGGCUUUCUUGCUGCUGUCAGCUCAGAACAGCACCAGAACUUUAGCUCCAACCAGAACCAGUUCUUCAAGAAACUGUAAUGAUCACAUCUAAGCAAUGCAGAUCCCAAUUCCUCUCAAGACUUUAGGUAGCUUUUUUUAAAACACUCCAGAGGUUGCAAACUGAUCCAUGUUAACGAGUAUUAAGACAAUUUAUUACAUUAGAAAUAAAACAAAAAUACUCUCACCAAAAAUGUUUUUGUGACAAAAAAGGCAAGUGAGGGCAUGACAGUGUUACGCAAAACAUAUUUCAUAAUAUAGAUGCAGUCCUCAUGACAGAAACCUCAACCAGUCAGAGAGUCUGGAGGCCUCCGUCUCAGUGUGCAGUUAAAGGUGGCAUUGUAGCGCUGCAUUUUUUCAACAGUUCAAGGACGACAGCACGGCAAGCACAGCCUCAGUAGCGCAUUGAACCCGGCGACCCUGCAGCACCAUGGAAAGAGCCAAUCCACACAGCUCCGGCCAAGGACAGGACACCCACAAACUAACACGCUCUCACAGGCAAACUCACUAACUCCUACAAAGCCGCUCCCACACACUCACCACACUGCACAAAUACACCCCUACAAACACUCACCCACAUAAAAACACACUCUUGCCAAACAGCAGAGAUUUUUUAAAAUCCAGCCACGCUCAUUUAACCAGGUAGCUUAUGGGAUCAAGCCAGCACGUUGGAGUCGAAUUCAACCAUGCAUCCGUACAGUUUACAGUGAUUGAAAUUACUUUCAGUAGCAGCUUCCACUGUGUCUAAAACAGGUUAUCAGACACCCAGGCAACUGAAUCACCCUUUGUCUGAGGUGGAGAUAAAGUCCUCUCUGUGGCCAGGAUACUGAUGGCGGAGAGAGCAGUGGGCUACGAUUACACAGAGAGCAAGAUUCUCUGUCUCUCACACACAUGACCUGUGCUGUAUUACAUCGUAAAACUGCACCUCUUACACCUUGUGCACACAGUAGAAGAGGUGGCAUCUCUAGGGACCUGACGAUUCAAUUCAAUAUUAAUUCAGGUGUCAAGUCAUUAUAAAGCAAUUCUUCAUAUGUCUUGAUGCAGCUCAGUUUUUGAUUUACAUUUCCUAUAUUAUGAUUUUUUUUCUGGUCUGACUGUUUAAAAGGCUUUUUUAGUACCUCACUUGAAACCAGGCUUAAAGUAUUUCCAUUACAAAUGUCAAUAUAAAUUUCAAUUUGAAUAGGGUACUAUACAAAUUCUCAAAAUAUUUACAAAAAAUCCACAUCCACAUCUACUUUUAGUUGCUCAAUGUUACAGGAAAUGGGCUCUUGAGUGGAUCUUUAUGGAAAUAUUCUUUAUUUAAUUACAUUAACCUUCUACGUUAUUGAAUGCAUUUGAAUUCUAAAACUUUUACGUUUUUGAAAUGCAUAUGAAAUAUCUGAAUAUCUUGUGGUUUAUUUUUUCAUUAUAAAUGUUUGAUAAUACUUGUAUGUAUGCAUAAACCUAUGCAAAGGUCUGAUCACAACCGUGCACUGAUAGAUAAUCUUUUAAGAAUUAUUUACAAAGCUUUAAAGUAUCAAUUAUUUUUCACUUCCCUUCAUACUAGACAACAAAACCAUUUAGUGUUCAAGCAAGAACUACAGAGUCUCUCCUGAUAGGCCAUGCUAGUGUUUCCAUGAAGCACUUCCAACUGAAUUCUCACUGUUCCAGGGUAUAUGCAGGUUUCCUUCCUACAUUGAGAUGCACUGCCACAAAGCCGCACUCUGCUCUUUGAGCUAAAAGCUUCAUUCAUAAGGAGUCUGUUUUGCACACAAUGAAGCAUAUUUAACCAUAGCCCACUCUUCCUGUCUCUCACACACCGUGACUCAUUCACAUACGCACACUCACAAUGGCUUAAAAAUCCCAUUGCAGAACAAAGUGUUCCCAAAGGGUCAGUAAUCCUAUGGAUGUGGACAUUUCCUGGGAAAAUUAUACUCCAACAACUCUGCUCUUCGAGAGAGACUUCGAAUAGACACGCCUCUCUCUAUAUAUGUUCUUGGACCAGCACAUCCCAGGCAACUGGCUAAGAGAAAAGAAGUCAUUAAUCAAUAGCCAGGCUAUGUGUAAGGAGAAAAAAAUUCUCACUUUACCCUUUCUAGUCAACUCCUUACAGUCAUCAGCUAUGCACCAGAUCACAGCAGCGAAAAAAAGUCUCAUUUGCUUUAGAGAUAUUUCGAAUCUCAACUUUAAUCACCUUCACCAAACAUAUGAGCGUACAGUUUAGAGUUAAUUAGAGUUUGGCCUUACAGUCAUUUAAAAAAAAAAGAUAGGUCAGGACCAAGGUGACAUGACAUAAUGAUUAAAAUCAGCCAUGUUGGAAACUCUGAGCUCCCAGGACGAGAAGGUGCAUUCCAGCCAUACUUGCCCUGUCGAGAAUGAGGAAAGGGGGGUUGGAGCGAGAAACAGAGUAGCAGAAGAGAGAGAAACGGAGAGACAAACCCAGUGGUUAAGAAGCUUGAAAAGCUAGUCUUUCGGUGCUCUGAAAAAUUUGAGGUUUGCUUUCUUAAACUGGCAGCGAAAACCACUACAGCCCUGGUGGAAAGGUACCUUAAUUUAGCUUGGCAAUACCACGAGACAUGCAAUACAGAAAUGAUCAGAAGAAUUAAGUCGGGGUUACCGUAUAUCACUUUCACCCAAAUUGGGCAGAGUCUGCGCUUGAUUUGUGGGUCAUGUGUAUGUUAAGGACACAGUCUCUAAUUUCAUGCUUUAUGCUUUUGCUAGUUUUAGCCCAUUUGGCCAGAGUAUCAAACGCUGGACAUGGCUCAAAUUUCUCUCAAUAACCAAUGAAUAUUAAGAGUGCAAAAAAAGUUCAAUUUAGGAAAUAAAAAUAGCAGGCAGGCAUUUGCGGCUGCAGUGGAGAAUUCAAUCGAGGAUAAAAGAAUCAGGAGUAGCACAAGUUCCUGUAUAAAGUAAAUUCAAAACCAUCUGGACAAGAAAAAAAGGAUUGGUUGCAAAUGAUAAACUUUUGAUACUGAAUGUCCAGCACCAUUCUGGAGCUCUGCUCUCUCCAUCUGCGCUGUUCACACUGUACUAUACUUUAUAUGCAUUAUUCAUGGUGAACACUUGUGCAGGAAGGAACAUUUUCACUUGACAUCUCUUUAAUCAAACAGUUAGCUUGCAUCAGGCUUUUCCAGAACCAAGGCAAUCAAGCCAGUUCACCAGGUUAAAUCCAAUGGCAAUGUGACCUCAGUCAUCCAUCUCUGACUCAUACCUCAAGCAGCGAAUGAGACAUGAGUGUAAGAAAAAAGUAAGAUAUUGAGAAACAGAUGUAAAUUGCAGGGGCACAAUAGGAAACAAAAUCCACAGGAUGAGAGGAAGGGGAUUAUUAUAUAAAAAUACAAACCAUUAUAGUGCAAGCUGCACCUGCAGUUCAGAAAUAGCUUUUUGUGAAAGAGGACGUGUACGAUGUGUAUGGGGAGGUAAACAGGAAGCUCAAUAAGGAUUUAUACCCUGCCACUCCUACCUGUCUGAAUGAAGCUUUAGACUCCCAGGCUCAGCACUGAUGCUCAUCCUGCGAGUGUUAAUCAGAUAUACUACGAGUUUCCUGUCAUCCUGUGAAAUAACCGCAGCCUGUAUAUUCCCUUGGGGCAAUCUAUACAAAGACAUCUCAGCAUCCAGUGCAGCUGCUAUGCAUUCUAGGUCUGGUGUAUUUUCCCUGUGGAAUUUAGUGGAUGAACCUGAUUGGAUACAGAUGCCAUGAUCAUAGGAAAAGAGGGAAAAAAUAGGAAAACCACCAACCCAAAACUCCUUGCAAUCCCACAUUCUAGCUUGGGUAGAAGUUGAUUUGGUUUGGUUUCACUUUAUUGUCUGUUCAGAUUUCCUGGACAGAAAUGCAUCUUUGACACUGGUAUAAAAAUACAUCUUAUCAGACAAUACUGCACAUCCACUUACAAACCACAUAAUUAAGCAUAUGGAACACACAUUUGUCCCCAUUAAGAACAUACAUAAAACAAAUGAAUACAAUACUACAUAUAUACACACACACAACACAACACACACACACUAUAUUAUAUAUAUAUGCACACAUAUACUCACGUAUGUAUACACACACUUACCCAUAUAAAUAUAUAGUACCUCAAUUAAGAAUUUGGUUUAAAACAGUCACCGCUAUCAGAACAAAUGAUGUCUUAUAUAUGUUGUUUUUAGGCAGCGGUAUACGCAGCCUGUGCCCCAAAGGGAGGGCCUCAUAGCAUGGAGGGGAAGGGCUGGUCUGAAUAUUCUGUUUCUGGCCAGUGAUUUAUACUUCUAUAAUGUGUGUAAAAUGAUUUGUCAUACACAACUUUAAAAGCAAGAGAUUGGGAUCCUACAUACAUUUGGUCAUUUCUUGCAUCUUGAGCAUCUGGAUUAUAUAUCUGAAUGGAGAUUAUCCACAUUUUUAAAAAUAAAUAAAUACAAUAAAAUAAAAUAAAAACACCCACAUCCAAGACGCAUUUGCAACAGAUUUAAAUCUGAUCGUUUUAAAAGACACAUUUUACACACAUUAUAGAAGUAUAAAUGCAUCUUUCUCUACAAACCACAUUUGACAAACAAAACCCCACCCAAUUGGUGACUCCCUUGAGUGCUGUAUUUGCACAUUUAAAACAUUACAGAGCUGGGUGUUUGAAAGGAAUAAGCUGAUUUGCAUAUUAUUGUGCAAUACAGUGCGCAGACUUCAGUUUGGCUACCCGGAGAUGUUGCAAGUGUAAAUGAAUGUAGCUAAAUCUCAUCAGAAUACAAUCCAGAUACAAGACACGUGACGGCAGGUGUAAAUGGGAUCAGUGAGCAUGAGGACAGCCGUAUGAGAACUUAAUUGAAGAAGUCAAGCAAGGGGAGAAAAUGAUGAGACACAUUGAAGUAAAUUACUGGCCCUCUCCCCUAUCCAGACAUGGCUUCCCCAAACUGCUGUGUGUGAGAAUAAAGACUUUGUUUGUGCUUGGUCCUGCGAGCUGCAGGCUCUCGUUUGACUUGCCAGCGCCUCACACUCAUCUCUCUGUAGCCUACUCUCUCACAGUGAACUUUGCCCCCAAUACUAAACACAUUCCUUUAGCUGCUUGCUAAACAGACAAGCAAAUAAACAAAAUAGUUUGAUGUAAAAAAGGAAAUUCCAACAGGCUCAUACAAUGGAAAUGACUGUGAGGCAAUUCGGAAGUAUCAAAUCCGUUUCAGGAAUUCAUCUAAUCGCCCGUUAAUAUUGGAGCUGAGAGUGGAGGCUGUCUAUAAAUCACCCCACAGAACUGCAGAGACCCACAUACAUCCACAGCAACACGCACAUAUGGGUUUAGUGUAAGACUGUGUAAGAUUAAACAGUGUAGUGGAGCAAACUAGAUAUGUCACUUGUAUUGUGGAUUCAUUGUAGAUUCAUUAGGUUUACAGUGUCAAAAUUAUGCAUCAGUUUCUGAUGAUGAAGGCAAUUAGUUGUACCUCAAUCAUUGCUGAGGAUUCUUUGUUUAUCUAUGAAUAUUACAUUAUGUAUCAAUUAAAUAAAAUCUCUUCCAAACCUUUUUUUCUCUAAGCCAUCCACUCUUGCAAUUUUUCGAGUUAUUAGUCUUCCUUAUGUGAAUUAAAUUAUUCAUCUCUCUAUAUUAUUUCGCAGAAUAUGGCAAUUUUUAGAUGAAUAAAAUGUUUCAUUAUUUUCAGCAUUGUCGGGAGAGCUGCUAUACAGAUCCCACAGACACUAAUGGACAUAUUCAUACUGUAAAGUCAACCACUGAAAAUGCAUCUUUACGAGUCCGCUUUCCGACAUAGCUUGGACAGUGGAAAAUGUAGUGUCCUUUUUAAAAAUGAAAAAGUAUUAUUGACAUGUGAUCUCCAUGAUUCCAAGAUGACUGAGCUCUUUGCGAUGCUGAUUUCUGUGUUUAGGUAUUUAACACAGACUGCUUUGAAUGUUCAGUGCGGGUGUGUGCAAAAAAGUGUAUUUUCUGUUCAUGUUGUCAAGACAAACAAACAUGGCAGUAAUGACAUAAAUUAUAAGGUCAUGCGUCAAGACAGCCAGUGCUGUUUUCUGUCAUUUUCAUGUUUCAUUGCAGUUGGGAAACUUUCAGAAAACACACUGAAAAAGCUAGUGCUUUCAAAAUGACAUCUCUUAGUGUGAAAUAUGUUUAAAUUGAGCAAGUAAUUACAACAUCUAAUAACAACCAUUUAGCACCAUUGCCUCUGUUUUGAGUUUUUAUCAAGUGACUGCACAAGCCUGUUUAGUAGAGUAGCUGUUUUAAUAAGUGAAUAUUGUACUAAAUCUAGCCCACACUUGUUUUUAUCCAUCGAAAUUUCAUUUGUUCUCAUCCUCUUCUGUUGAUUCAGAUCACAGGGUUUAUUAGGAAACUGUGUUAGUGAAGCACGUGCUACCAAGGAAACAAAGAAAGCAAAAAUAUUUUCUGACUUCAUCAUGCUUUGAACAUCGAUAAGUCACCAUUAACAUUACCAAUGCUAAAGAUAUCAUCAGUAAUUUUAGCUAAGUUUGUUACUUCUAGCUGAAACUAAAAUCUAAGCAAAUACAGUUCUUGCUUUCAGUGUUCUCUCUCAAAUCAUGCCCCCUAAAAACCACAUGCAGCGUGUUCUGCCUAUGCUAGAAUACCUAAAAGGUGGCGCUUUCUGAAUUGUGAGGAAACAGGUAGAAACAUUGGCUGGAUUUUUUUCUGGCCCGUAUUAUUUUUUCCUCCAUUUACAGAGCCCAGUGGGCUCCACAUAAACCACAUAGAGUUUAACCUCUGGGUAGAUAUUUUGUUAAAACUGCCAUAAGGCAUAUGCACACAUCUACAUAGUGAUGGCUUGGGUAUAUAGUUAAUAAUGAUACUAGUAAUGUAUCGUAUCAUUAAAUAACAGCCCUAUUCUUUUAAGAUGCACAGCUCCUAACCACUAUUUACCCUCACGGCUAAAUAGGUCAUUGGAAACCAGUCACGGAAUUAUACACCACAGGUCUGUUCCUGCAGCUUUCCCUCCUCCCAUCCUUCUCUCUCCUUUCCAUUCCUCUUUCUGUAGUUCUUUCCAUUGGUCAGGUUCCUGUGCCACACAUUCCGAGGAUGCCUGGUACAUAUGGUAUAAAUUCCAUUCAGACUGGUGAGGCCCUCUAUGCUGUCUGAACUGCUCUGUGCUGGACGGACUCCACCCUACCUCAGAGCCAGGCCAGCAUACACUCCCUCCCUCGUUCUCAGAGAAAGAGCCUUAAGGAGUCAACAAGAUUCUUCAAUAUGGAAUGAACAAGAUUUGACCAAGUUGAAAAGUUCCCUGCAAAGGGUGUUUAUAUGUAGCACAUGUCAGUGGCUGAUAUUCAUUGUCGAAAAAAAAAACCUUAAACUGGCUUACACCAAGCCCACAGGCCAUUUAAUCAACAGGCCUCUUAGGAAAGAUGGCAUUGGGAUAUUAAUUUCAAAUGUCUAUAUGUCGAUGACGGCAGCAAUCAAUAUCAAUUUCAAAUAAUUACACAGAAGCUGACAACUGGACUACUUCCUGUUUGACUUUUAAUAUGUUGCAAAUGUGUCAAAGCAUUGCUACAUAGGAAUGCAGCCCAAGACCCAGCUCUAUUCUGAAAUAGAGCCAUUAAGAAGGAAAUGUUUGCAGGCCCGGUUCCAUCACCGGCUUGUCUGAAUGUCCAGUAUUUGGUCCCAAAGGACCACGCGGCUGCACAGACAGGAAGCUCCACCAUCUCAGAGACAGUAGAGUGCACUCAAACCAAACGCCUGCCUUCCCACAUGGACAAGGCAGAGACAGCUAACUGCCAAGUGGAGAAAAUCACUAUCACAGAGAACCUCACACACCCCCGCAAAGCCCACUCAAAAUCUGUUACACUAACCAUACAGUACAAACCAAUGAGCGAAGGCAAGACUGUGCACACAAAUCCCACAAGAGCUCUUCAACCUACUCACAGGAUAGCGUGCAAAAACUUCAGCACAGAUAGGAGAACUGUGAUACAACUCUCAGGGUGUGGCCCUAACUAGCAUUUUUCUCCUCAGGCCAAUGAACACUACCCACUGGUCAAUAUUAAUUUCCAGCGUUCAUUCCAAAAACCACAAUCACAUCCUCGAAAAAAGUUUCACAAACCGCUGAUCUGCUCCUGUGAACGUGAUAAGUGCACCAUGUAUUUCGAGUUACGGACAAAUCAAUAGUACAGAGCAGAAAACAAACUCCAUUCUCCAGACCGCUCUCUCACACAUCUCACAGAUGUUCUUCACACAAAAGAAUACAUCUUGGCCAUAGAGGAAAACAGACAGCGAGAGAGCAGUGAACAAGUGCGGACCUUGAAUAACAAUCAUGUCUCAUUUCUGAUUUCUCCAUUUGAAGUCUGGCCGCCUGGAGACCAGCCCAAAGAAGCAUUGAAACAGCCAUUUGUGGACAUUUGUAGUCAUUUUUCCAGCCAGACUGGAAGGACAACUAGUAAAUGUGACUGAAAGACCAGACAAUGCAAUCCCCAAGCAAACAUUUACUGAGAGUUUAAAAAAAAAAACAAAAAAAAAACAGUAUCCCAGCACAUUUUGACCGGAAUUUCUGAAGCAGGCAAUACAAGAAGGAAUUCAUCUCCCAUUAAUUUCACUACACAGAAAACAAUGCCAGGCUUCAACAAGGAUUUGAAAAAUAGACCAAACAGUAUAGCGCUGAGACGAUCAACCAGUCUCCAGGUCUCUAGUUCCACAGCUCUUUUUUAUUUUUCCAAGAACAUUCUUUACACUGGUUCAUCCAUGUAAAAGGCUUAUAUCAUUUCAAACCCAACAGAUGAAUUUAUUAUUACUAGACUAGACUAGACUAAUACUAGACAUGACACCAAUCUGAUAACCGGGAUUGGUAUCUGGCCUAUACCAGCAAAAAAUUCUGGAUCAGAUAUUAGAGGCAGAAAGAACGAUUCUGUAACAAAUGGAAAAGACUGGAAUUGGAUUUGAAAAAGUUAUUUUAGAACUGGAAAAGUUUACAUAUUAAAAAGAGACAUGACUGUAUGACUUUAUAACACACACACACACACACACACACACACACACACACACACACACACAAACACACCUGAGUGUGAUUUUUGUGUUAAAGAGUUUAGCUGAAAAAUAUUAAGCUGAGGUUCUGGAAGUCAUGUUUUUACCUAUGUAUUUUCCUUUAUUUUUUAUGUGAAGUGCUUCAGUUAAAACAUAUAUAUAUAUAUAUAUAUAUAUAUA